rnacentral:snoRNA from 1 species
GCCCUCUGGAACCCUUACUCGUCAGAAUCGAGCCUUGAACACUGGUCUUAGCGGUAAUAAAAGGAAGGAAAGUAAAGUGGAAGCUGACUUAAAAGUCGUUGUGACACACAAGCUAGUUUUAAACAAAC